rnacentral:rRNA from 1 species
UACGGAGGGUGCAAGCGUUGUUCGGAUUCAUUGGGCGUAAAGCGAGUGUAGGCGGUUUGACAAGUCGGAUGUGAAAUCCCGGGGCCCAACCCCGGAACUGCAUCCGAUACUGUCUGGCUAGAGUCCCGGAGAGGGUGGCGGAAUUCCCGGUGUAGGGGUGAAAUCCGUAGAUAACGGGAGGAACACCAGUGGCGAAGGCGGCCACCUGGACGGUGACUGACGCUGAGACUCGGAAGCGUCGGUAGCAAACAGG